UGGGGAAUUUUGGACAAUGGGCGAAAGCCUGAUCCAGCAAUGCCGCGUGUGUGAAGAAGGCCUUCGGGUUGUAAAGCACUUUUGUCCGGAAAGAAAUCCUUGGCUCUAAUACAGUCGGGGGAUGACGGUACCGGAAGAAUAAGCACCGGCUAACUACGUGCCAGCAGCCGCGGUAAUACGUAGGGUGCAAGCGUUAAUCGGAAUUACUGGGCGUAAGCGUGCGCAGGCGGUUUGCUAAGACCGAUGUGAAAUCCCCGGGCUCAACCUGGGAACUGCAUUGGUGACUGGCAGGCUAGAGUAUGGCAGGAGGGGGGUAGAAUUCCACGUGUAGCAGUGAAAUGCGUAGAGAUGUGGAGGAAUACCGAUGGCGAAGGCAGCCCCCUGGGCCAAUACUGACGCUCAUGCACGAAAGCGUGGGGAGCAAACAGGAUUAGAUACCCUGGUAGUCCACGCCCUAAAACGAUGUCAACUAGUUGUUGGGGAUUCAUUUCCUUAGUAACGUAGCUAACGCGUGAAGUUGACCGCCUGGGGAGUACGGUCGCAAGAUUAAACUCAAAGGAAUUGACGGGGUCAUAGCUGUUUCC
rnacentral:rRNA from 1 species